AAAUUCAAAAAUAUCGAAUGCCAUGUUGAUGUUGCAUGGAAGGGAAGUUGGAAAGAGAGUGUCUAGAACAGGGGAAUCAUGAUUAGCAGUGGAUGGAAGAAGAGGAAGACAUUUUAAGACCCGGUAGCUGUUGCUGCAUUGUGCCUGAGAUGAUCCCCUCAGCGCUGGCGUUUGAUAACUUGGUGGAUGUAGAUGCUUAGCCAGUCAGUCACUAGGCUUGAAUCGGGAUGCUCACAAGGACAAGAGGUGUAUAGAAAAA